rnacentral:rRNA from 1 species
CCCUUAGAUGUUCUGGGCUGCACGCGUGCUACACUGAUAUUGCCAAUAUGUCAUUCUUAUCCGAAAUGGAUUGGGUAAUCAAGUAAUGAAAUUUCAUGCUUGGAAUCGGUAAUUGCAAUUUUAUCGUGAACGAGGAAUUCCUAGUAAGCACUAGUCAUCAGCUAAUGUUGAUUAUGUCCCUGCCCUUUGUACACACCGCCCGUCGCUACUACUGAUUGGGUGUUCAAGUGAGAAGCUUAGACCCUUGUUGCAUGGUUCAUUAUUGUGCUCCGAAAGGAAAAAGUUUCAAGCUUGAGUGUCUAGAGGAAGUAAAGGUCGUAACA